GACGUAGGGGGCCAGCGUUGUUCGGAAUUACUGGGUGUAAAGGGUUCGUAGGCGGUGCGGCAAGUCGGGAGUGAAAUCUCUGGGCUCAACCCAGAGGCUGCUUCCGAAACUGCUGUGCUUGAGCGUGGGAGAGGCGCGUGGAAUUGCAGGUGUAGCGGUGAAAUGCGUAGAUAUCUGCAGGAACACCCGUGGCGAAAGCGGCGCGCUGGACCACUACUGACGCUGAAGAACGAAAGCUAGGGGAGCAAACAGG
rnacentral:rRNA from 1 species